GACUUUUCAAUAGUUACUAUAAAUGAGUGGAUGAAUAUCAAACUGCCAUAUGUCCACCUACCCGAAAAAUUGACUUUUUGAUUUGGUCGUGUUCUCCGUUAAAAUGUCAGCUUGCCUAUGCCCUUCAAGUUCCAAUAAGUGCAAGGCAUCCAUGAGAAA